rnacentral:lncRNA from 1 species
UUCGGGUCAUCAAAUGUGUCUGGCAUUUGGAUAGCUAGCUUUGUAAAUGUAUAAUCUUUGGACGUCUAUUUCACAUUCUUUAGUCUGAGGAUCUUGCCAAGCCAUUGAUGGUUGAUUCCAUUCUAUUUCUUUUACCAUUCUUUUACCAGCUUUAUUUUUUUUUUCUCCUCCUGGUCUUAAAAUAAUUCGUGUACCUGGCCUCAAAUAUAAUCAC